UAGAGUUUGAUCCUGGCUCAGGAUGAACGCUAGCGGCGGGCUUAACACAUGCAAGUCGAGGGGCAUCGGGAGGGAAGCUUGCUUUCCUUGCCGGCGACCGGCGCACGGGUGAGUAACACGUAUGCAACCUGCCCUCUUCAGGGGGACAACCUUCCGAAAGGGAGGCUAAUCCCGCGUAUAUCGGUUUCGGGCAUCCGAGAUCGAGGAAAGAUUCAUCGGAAGAGGAUGGGCAUGCGGCGCAUUAGCUUGACGGCGGGGUAACGGCCCACCGUGGCGACGAUGCGUAGGGGUUCUGAGAGGAAGGUCCCCCACACUGGUACUGAGACACGGACCAGACUCCUACGGGAGGCAGCAGUGAGGAAUAUUGGUCAAUGGGAGAGAUCCUGAACCAGCCAAGCCGCGUGAGGGAAGACGGCCCUAUGGGUUGUAAACCUCUUUUGUCGGAGAACAAAACCCGGGACGUGUCCCGGACUGCGUGUAUCCGAAGAAAAAGCAUCGGCUAACUCCGUGCCAGCAGCCGCGGUAAUACGGAGGAUGCGAGCGUUAUCCGGAUUUAUUGGGUUUAAAGGGUGCGUAGGCGGUCCGUUAAGUCAGCGGUAAAAUUGCGGGGCUCAACCCCGUCGAGCCGUUGAAACUGGCAGACUUGAGUUGGCGAGAAGUACGCGGAAUGCGCGGUGUAGCGGUGAAAUGCAUAGAUAUCGCGCAGAACUCCGAUUGCGAAGGCAGCGUACCGGCGCCACACUGACGCUGAGGCACGAAAGCGUGGGGAUCGAACAGGAUUAGAUACC
rnacentral:rRNA from 1 species